CAGGGACGGAGUGGACGCGGCCUGCAGCUGAAACAAGUUGCUGAUAGCCGGGACUCUCCUCUCCCUGACGCAUGAGGGGAAAAACACAGUUACAGGAUGAUUUUGAUAGCUUUUCUUAUCUUUUGCAAUACAAUGUGUGGAUCUUGCACAACCUGCUUCGGAACAAGAGUUAGCUAAUCCGUAGCUCGGCACUUUGAGAUACCAUGACAAGGGAAGCUGUACUGAUUUGCAAUUAAUAACUUCCAUUUUUACUCCAUAACCGUCGGCCUGUAGUAUCUUUAACCACUGUAAUCUGCAGAACUUGGUUCCAAUAGAUGGCUGAGCAAGAACCGGCUGCUGUAACUCUCCCUUUUCCAUCUAGAGAAUGUAAAUGAGGAAAACGAAGAGGGUGGCAGAGCGAGGUUAAGGAAUGGAGAAGCAGAGGGAUGCACUGGGGAGGGAAGAGACGGGAGCUAACUCAAAGCAAGGAAUCCGAUGACCACCACUUCAGCAGAGUCGAUGAAGGCCUCGGCGGCUUUGGUGUCGGUCAGUCUGGGAAGGACACUGUCUGAGACACAAAAGACACGAGACGCACACAAUGCAGCGUGCAGUCACUGCGGCUUACAUUCCGAGUCCACAUCCAUGCUGGUUAUGGACGGAACGACAAAAACUGCAAACGGGCUGAAAUUUUGCAUGUUUGCAAUCCAACGUUUGCUAAAUAAAUAGAUAAUUAACAAUAAUCAAAAAAUCCUAAGGGGAGAAUUGAUACUCAAUUGAUUGGCAAUCUAUCCAUUAAUAUUGCUACAUAUCUGCAAGUGUAAAUGUAAAGCUCGUGGUAAAGGCAGAGGAUCCCCAACAUGAUAUGAAUUCAUCCUUUGGGGACAAUUAAUGGACAGAUGAUUUUUAGUGAAAUUAGUCUACAAAUCGUAUAUUUGCAGUAUUCUCGCUGAAAUUUCCUCUCUGAAAGCAGAGAAAAAAGAACGGAAGAAGACUCAGCAGUUACCUUUCUCUGCGGCAACGACAGAAGACACCAGGAGGGAGAAAAACAGAGCGAUCAGCAUGUUUCCACUGACGCGGCGGCAGGAAAAGAGAACCGAGCAGGGGACGUGCUGGCGACUUUGUAGCUGUUGGACUCCUCUCUGUGUCCCACGGGUCACCACAUGGCCGUGUUUGCUGCAUGGGAAGCAGCCAGGUGCUCUUGAUAAGUGCGUCGCUGGGACGUUGGACUACGUGUCACUGUGCCACAGGGGCCGCGUGCGUGUCUGCACAUUGGUGUGUUACGGCCUUCAAGCCCCGUUGGUCCAGCGGACCUUUAUUGUUGUGCAGCAUCACACACCUGUCUUGUGUCUCACUAGCAGAGUCUUCUUAGCAACGCUGCUGUCGAGAUGUGUUGAGGCUUUGGUUAAAGCUCAGGCUGCAGCGCCGCCAAUGUGACCACCGAUGCAUUUUGGCACAUUGACCACAGGAGGGACACGGCUCCCAUCCUCACUAAAUCCUGCUUACUUCUCACAAUUUAGUUUGGGAAUAUCUUUAUCACAAGAAGUACAGGUGUGAAUCUAAAUCUAUGUGGGAUACUUGUUUUUUCGUUACAGAUCCUCUUUGAGUACCUUGAAAAAUGUUCAAUAUAUAUAUAUUUUUUUUAAUUUACUAAACAUAUUGCACUAUAAAAUGCAACUGUCCAAAUAUGUCA